rnacentral:rRNA from 1 species
AUGCAUAUCACCAUCCGUAGGGUGCUUGUUCGCUGCAUCCUUUCUGCCAUGCCGAUGUUCGCUUUCACGGUGUUACGGGUGCCAAAGAAGUUUUUCAAGGAGGUAGAUAAAGCUAGACGUUGUUUCCUAUGGGCGCAAGAUGAAGAGGUGAUGGGAGGCAAAUGCAUGGUCGCAUGGAGCAUGGUCACCGCGCCAGAGACGCACGGUGGCCUCGGCAUCCAUGAUCUGGACAAGUUUGCACGGGCCCUCCGCCUGCGCUGGCUCUGGCUCUCCUGGACCCAUCCAGAAGGUCGUGGGUCGGCUCAGACACGCCAUGCAACCUGCAGGAUCAAGCCCUCUUCGCAGCCAACACAACGGUCACCAUUGGGGACGACAUGA